rnacentral:lncRNA from 1 species
AUGCAUUUAAGCACUUAUGGUCCACGAGGUUCGUGAAAGAAAUCUUGAGUACUAUGGUCCAUAUAUAAUUUUAGUAUAUUUCAUAAGUCAAUUGCAAUCUUUCAAAAUUUAUUUCCGAAAAAAUUGUAAUUCAUCUUUACAACUUUUAAUUUAAAAAAAGGAAUGCAAAGGAGAAAAAUUUACAUGUGAAGGCCUUGUGUCCAUCAAAAAAUUGACCAGCUCACUUGAAAAUUCAAAUUUCAAUCACAACAAGAUUUGCUCACUAACUAUGCUAAGACCUCUAUCAAAAAGGCUUCAAACCAGAUGCAUCAAAUUUGAAUCUACUGGGCAUCACCUUAAUGUAAAUGCAUGAAAGAAAGAUGGAAGGAAAGGAAUCGUGAUACCAUGGCAAAUUGCUCAAGAAAACCUAGGAGAAACAGCACACAUUCAUGUGCAUUUGUAACCCAGCAAUUGAAACCAGCACCAUGUUUGCUUUCGUACACUAUGCUAAAUCGGACAGAAGGAAUAGGUCUUUUGAUUGUCAGAGAAAUAUAUUCUUGCCCUCUUAUCUAGUCAAUGUAAGACUUUCAUACGCAAGAUCUAAGUAACUAUAAAAAUCUCAGUUUUAUAAUACACAUUCACCCAUAUUCGUUUCUCCCAUAUCCGCACAUGUCUAAUAUUGUUAUUAAAGAUGUGAAGAUACCACCAGUAUAUUAGAGCUCUAUUGAAUACCACUCAUCUUUAAGGAUGGAAUCACCUGCACACUAUAUAAGGUAAGGGGCCCAAAAUGUACCCGGGUAAAGAAUCCUAAAUAGCCGAUGCACUAAGGAUCAAAUACAUAUCACGAAUGAUGAGAAAACCCAACUAAAUCUUUGGCAUGCAUGUAGAAAUCCAACAAAUAAAACGUCUGAAGAAAAAACAUAUGUCAACCAAAAGAACAGGAAACUAACGUAUACCCAUCAAAUUGUGACUACCAACAAACAAAGGAAAAUUACAGAAAAAAACUCACCAAAAUGAAUAGACUUCUACACGACUGUUUUCUUCUCCUUUCAUCUCCGACAGAUUAGAUAAUUGUUGAGCAUGUCUGGAAGAACAGAAGAAAAGAAAAAUGCAGGUGUUAAUUAAAGAUUAUAUCCGAACAAACAUACAUGAUUGAAGCACUAAAACUAAAAAUUUCACCAGAAAAGCAGAGAAAUCGAAAAGGAAAACAAAAAGCAGAUAACAAGCAAACAAAUAAUAAUUAAAUUAAACAGAAAAAACGUAGAAAUACUAAGCAGAGAAACCUGCAGAUUUAAAAUAAACGCUGAGAAGAAAUGAUAGCAGUGAAUAAUAACUCACCAUAACAGAUUCCGGAAGCAGGAGACGGAGAGAAUGAAAGGGUAUUUGAU